rnacentral:rRNA from 1 species
AUUGAACGCUGGCGGCAGGCCUAACACAUGCAAGUCGAGCGAGCGGCGGACGGGUGAGUAAUGUAUGGGGAUCUGCCCGAUAGAGGGGGAUAACUACUCGAAAGAGUGGCUAAUACCUCAUACUAUUGGAGCUGCCGAUAUCGGAUUAGCUAGUUGGUGGGGUAAAGGCUAACAAAGGCAACGAUCCGUAGCUGGUUUGAGAGGACGACCAGCCAAACUGGGACUGAGACACGGCCCAGACUCCUACGGGAGGCAGCAGUGGGGAAUUUUGGACAAUGGGGGAAACCCUGAUCCAGCCAUCCCGCGUGUAUGAGAAGGCCUUCGGGUUGUAAAGUACUUUUGGCAGAGAAGCGGUAUCUGCAGAAUAAGCACCGGCUAACUACGUGCCAGCAGCCGCGGUAAUAC